rnacentral:lncRNA from 1 species
UGAUAACACUUUCUUUUUUUAAAGAGGAAAUGCCUGAGUUCUGAGUGGCCCUGCCCGUAACUGUGUCUAGGAGAAAACAGGCCUGGCCACAGCCUGCCCACAGGGAAGAGCGUGCCCGGCUGACCUCUGAGCAACGUGUCCCUCUCACCAGCAGUGGGGUCUGGUUCCAGACACCUGACACAGCCCGCCUCACCCACACCUGCCUGUGUCCUCCGCCUGCCCCCUCCCUGCCACUCAGAUGCCUGUGUUUCCUCGUCCCCAGCCCCAGCCCUGGCGAGGAGCUCAGCUCCCUAGGACUCAGUCGGCUUUGAGCAACACUUAUUGAUGACGCAUGAAGGGGCGGCCGCUGGCCCACGCACAUGCUGCCUGCUUCUGCCGGUCCCAGUGGUACAGAUGUGUUAAAGUCAAGGCUCUGCCAGGAAAACCCCAGGGCACAAGAGGAAACGCUCUCACUGGCUCACAGAGAGGAGGGUUCUGGGGCCACGCCCUAACUCUGAGGCAGGGCUCUGCAAACAGAGCUGCGGCCACGCACCCUCUGCCUGGAGAUGCUCAUGACACAUGCAGAGCAUCAUGUGCGUUCACAUGCCGGGUGUCUGCACGCAGCUCCGUGGAGGACUGAAUCGGAGUGACGGAGACCACACACAGGGUUCUGGGAGUGAAGGACGCCGUGUCCCAUGAACACGAUUCAGAUGGCCUUGCCACCAUGAGAGCCAGAGAGACCUGUGGAAAAGCCCUUCUCCACCUUCUGCCCUGCUUUACUCUGAAACUUGGUGUAUUCCCGGGCCUGCAGCUCACAGGCUCACUGUGGGCUGCCAGUGUGACUAGGUGUGCAAGCUGGCACAAGUCAGUCAGUACCCAGGGCCUCGCGUUGCUCAUCCGUUGGCAUCAGCGGUAACAGCACACGACGUGGGGUCUGAGACAGGGCCUGAUCCACAGCUUAAUAAGUGUGGUUUCUGGGGGUGUGCAGUUGGGAAUGGGAAGAUAGCUCAGCCCCAAGACAGGUGUAAAUUUCAAGAAAGUUCUCGGGGCAAACACACGGUUUUAACAUAUAGGUAAGUGAAUUUACAAAUGAUGGAGAUGACGUACAUGGUUAGAUAUGGGAAUGUGGGUAGGCGUGGGCCCUGAGCCUUCCCCCCUACACCCCGAUUCUGUCUGCUCAGAGGGCCUAGAAGCAAUGCCACCCCAGGAGGAACACUCUCCCAGCGGCUGGAUCUUGGUUUCUAGACACCAUUCUCCACUGGAAGGAACCGAGGCUUCUUGACCAAAUGCUGAGUCCUCAGAAAACAAAGGCUGUUUUCAGAUCUAGAUCCACAGGGCACAGAGCAAUAGAGCCUCUUCUCACCAGCGGAGCCUCUGCCUGCCUCUUGCUAAUCCUCGGGCAACCUGAGGAUGAGGAAGCCAGCACCUGUGCCCAGCUGGGGCCUUUGCCCAGACCUGGUGGCCACCUGGAGAUCUCUCUGGUCCCUCUUGGGUCCUUCAAUCAGAUCUUCUGACCCGCCUCUGAUUCUCGUUAUGCACCAGGUGGAACCUCCUAUUGUGCCCCAAGUCCUGUCCCAUCCAGGAUGCUGGGACGCCAGCCAGGUCUUCUGUGUAAGCCUGGUCAUGGGGCCCCUCGGUGGCGUGCUCCCUCACAGCAGGUUCAGGGGCGUGACGGGCAGCCCAUUUUCUGUGCACUGGUCCUUCCUCAGGCUUCCAGGACUCAGAGCCGCCCUGUCCUCCGCUUGUAUCCUUCCUCUCUCCGUUUCCUGAUCUCUCCGCUCGCUCAUGAGCGUGUGGCCUGGCUCACUCCUUCUCAGGAAGGCUUCCCGGGCGUCUGGCCUGCCUGUGACCACAGCAGGCUCCAGCUCCAAGCUCUGCUCUGUCCCCUACACAAAACAAUAAGCCCCAAGGCCCACGUGCCUCGCUUGACGGGCAGAGACCCGGGCUCCCCAAAGGGAUUUUAAGUCAUUCCACUGCCUUCUUGAAGAGACAGGGGUGGAGCAGUUGCCCGGCAGGGGCGGCCCCGUGUUCAAACUCCAGAGCCACGGGGGGCGGGGUGGGGGAGAGAAAGAGGAAGAACGAUUCUCACCAAUGAUCACACAGAAAACAGCCACAGAGGCCCUCUCACCAACCUUGGUGGCCUCCACGGGUACAACUGUGCCGGAGCUGGGUUAGGGACGGGCAGAGGAAAGUGACAGGUCCCAGGGUGAUGACCAUCUUCUCAAGCCAUGUUCUGUGAGGAUGGAAAUGUCCCUGGAUCCUCUCUGACUCAUGUGGUGGCCACCAGUUCCCAUGUGGCUACUGAGCACUUGAAACGUGUGACAGAGAACUGGGUAUUUCACUGCCUUUACUUUUAACUAUUAAAAUUGAAGCAGCCACAGAUGUGGGGGCUUCAUGGGGACAGCUCAGCUCUAGACGGGGUGGGCGCCCUUCCUCUGUCGAGGACCCGAGAGCACCUACGUCAGGCUUGUCCUGGGCCCUGCUGCUGGGCAGUGGAGACCCUGAUGCCUGGACAUGAGACGCGGCGGGCCGGCUGGAUCUCCCUGCUGACAAAUGGUCCCAAACCUCAGUGCCUUCAAACGGCCGGAGUUAGGACUGCUCCUGAUGCUGCGGGUCGGCGGGCCUCUCUCUUGGUCUGGGCAGCUUGGCUGGAGCUCUGUUGCUUUAUUUAUGAAAACCGGCCACGUUUUAAAGCUUUCUCCAAGACACAGCAGACUGCCAUGCCAGACCUCCUCGGGGGUGACAGAACAUUAUUAAAGCAUGUUCCCACCCAGGUGUCCCUAUCAUCUUCUUGAGAACUCGCAAGGACGUCCUUGGAGGAACAGCCAGGCUGCUUAUGACCUUAGCAGAGCUGCAUCGUCCCCGAGGGACAACACAGAGGACAUGCACCUCUUCCACGGGCAGCCCUCUUUACGGAGUGUCUGGCCGAGUUACAGAGGCUGAGAAGCAGGGGAACAUCUCCCCUCCUCUGCAACAUAAUCCACAGAAAAAUCUGGAAAGUCGCCUCUCACCAGCACCGGGUGGAGACAGUCGCUUUACUCAGCUGGCUGAGUGACUGUCCACCUCAGGCCCACAGGUAGAGUCGAGCAGGCCCAAGGCAGCACAGACUUGCUGACCACAGCCUGGGAGAUGCCGAGGGCCCCCCGCGGCCACUUGCAGGGGGAAGACCAGCUGAGCACAGAGGGAAGCGGGGACGCAGAAGUCAGCCCUGACGCUGGAUUCAUCCCCGGCCUUUUUGAGACACGACUGUGUAAAGGCAACUGGCCACAGGCUUGUCCCCACCCCACCAACCACUGUCAGGUCACUCAGACUCCAACAAGCACCCCUCUGUUCAUGCUCACCGCAGGCACAGAGAGGGCCUCGGAAGUCCUGCCCAGGAGCUCAGGCGGGCGGAGGACACAGAACGACGCACAGAUGCUCAGGGCACUGGGCGCAGGGAUGAAGGGCAUUCUGGAGAACGAAGUGUUCUAGCCAGCUUUCCGCCACUCCGACCAGAAGACAUGACAACAUAGAGGAAGAAAAGUUGAUGUGCUCAUGGUUUCCGAGGUCUCAGUUCACACGCGGCCAGCUCCGUUGCUCAGGGCCCAAGACGAGGCAGAACAUCAAGAAUGUAGUGGGGGGGGGGGGGGGGCAAAGCAGCUCAGAACACGGCCAUCAGGAAACAGUCCUGGCACCUAGGACAAAACAUAAACCCCAGAGAGACGGCCCCCGGGGACCCACCUCCCCCAGCUACACCCUGCCCACCUCUGUCACCUCCCAGUUAAUCCCCACCACGGAUCAGUCCACUGACUGGGUCAAGGCUCUCAUAACCCAAUCGUUUCACCUCUCAUCUUCCUUGCAUCGUCUCACACACGAGCUGCUGGGGUCCCCUCGUGUCCAUGCCAUAACACUAAGGAAUGACGAGCUCCGUCCCAAUGGAAGAAGAACGUGAAGAGCCCAUUGCCUUUAUAGCUGCUGCUGGAGUGAGGCACAGGUGACGUGCCAUUGGACAAAAGCAAAAGAUUUAAGGGACGUUUCUCCAAUGAGCAGGUGAAGGUACGAGGUCAGGCCAAGGCCAGAGAGCAAGGGCUCGAGAAGACCAGCUGGCAACAGGAGCAACGCCGUGCCCGUCCUCGGGGGCCCCUCCUCAUGUCCCAGGGUCACCACCCCCAUCAUUCCCACGUUACACGCGUAGCUGAGGCUUGGAGAGCUUUUGAGAGUAAACUCGUCCAGGAUCACAGAGGCAGGGACAGCCAACAACGGCGACGGAGACCAUUGCCGUUCUGUCUGCACCGGAAGUUUCCAGCGUAACACAGCUGCAGUGGCCUCUGCCUCCCCUCCCGACUUGAGCUGGAGUCCAUUUCUCCACCCCACGAAUCUGAGCUUGCUGCGGCCAGUGGCACAAUAGCAAAAUGUGACACAAACAAAGGCUUUUACAAGUGUUCAUGCAUCAAGUUCCCUCUUCUGGCUGAGGAUCAUGCUCCACCACAUUGGGCAGGCCCUAGCCAGCCCCUCAGAGGAUGAGGAACAGUGUGGAGACAGGCCACCAGCUGGCUGAGCCCCCACAUCUGUUUGUGAGGCCAUCAGAAGCAACAGAGCCCAGCCAAGACGCACAGACCACAAGAAAUGCCCACCGACCUCAGAACCACAGCAAUCACAACUGUUUGCUGUGGUAAACCCUGAGGCCUGGGGCUGCUGGGCUGCAGAGAAAGUCAGCUCACGUGACCACCAGUGAUGUCCAUGUCGGGGGCCAUGGCCACAGAGCAUGUUAGGAAGGAGGGUCUGUGCUGGCGACUGGCAAGAGGAGGACUGGGGGCAAGGGCAGGAACAGGAGACUGCAGAGCUCUUUCAGGGGUGGGACCAACAGGCUUAGUGACCGACUGAGCCCAGAUCUGUCUAAAGGCAUCCUCUGGCUCUGGGCCAGGUGUGCUGUUGACUGUACACAGACCUGCUUGGAGCUCACUGGUAGGAGCAGGAGGUUUACAUGGAAGAACUCAGAAGUGGCCACAGUGAAGGCCGGGCAUGUGAGCGUCUGGAAUGGAAGGCCACGGGACCUAGGCUUUCUCAGGCCCUCGCCGCUGGAAGGGGAAUGUCAGUGAGGGAAUCACAGGUGGCCUCUAUGCCACCUGCUCCAGGCCAGCCCCUCUCUUAGCAGCAGCCGGAGGGAUCCCACCAAGAGUCCCCAGGCCACAGGUCACCACAUCCCAACCAUUCCCAGGGAGCUUCCAGUUGGGAAUAGCCCUGAACGUUCACUGCUGAACCGUCCCUGCAGCCGGCUGAUACACAGGAGCCACACGAGCAAGGAAAUCACCAGGGCCCAUUUUCUGGGAGGGACUUUAUGCGACUUGCAGAGACCACAGAGGAGGAAACCAAGUACCACAAGGUGGUUCCUCCAGAGAGGCGGGCCCCGGGGCACCCCCCCUCAGAGCGGAGCAGUGGACGGGCCGAGGGCUUAGACUCCAGCCUGCACCGAUGGCGGCCUCCUCCCAUGGCGGCCCUUCACCUAUCCCCUUCACUUGUCCCCACCCCACCCACAGCCACAGCUACCAACUCGGGACCUCAGCUGGCACUGCUGAGAAAUGUCUCCCAGCUCCAGCUGGAGCACAGAUUAAAACAAAUUCCAGUCAAACAAAUCACAGUUAUGUUCUUAUUUCUCCUGCUCUGGACCCAUAAAUCUUCCUUCCUUGACCCCAUUAGUGCAUCCGCCACUCACAGCCCCCUCGCGCCGUCCCUCGCUCCGUCAGAUGUUCCUUCCUACUACACAAUGUAAUGCAGUAAAUCUCAUCAGAGAUUUGUUCUUCCAUUUUGCUCCUUCUCUGGGUAGGACUGGGGACUGGGACUCAAACUGGACAGGACUCCAGUCUGCUUAUUAAAUCAAAGCGUUCCCCUCCAAGCAGAAAACGAUCGGCUGAGUAAAUGUGAACACGGAAUCUGGCUGAACACUAGGGCACAUUGUGAAUUACAGGAAUCUUUUGCAGAGGCCUGUGGGCAUGUCAUAUUCCAAAACAGGGUGGCCUGCUUUUGAGGUGUGCCCCUGGGGAGACCGGUCUGGUUAAACUGUGUGAUUGACAGGAACAGCUUUCUCGUGGAGAUUACUCCUUGGUAAGACACAAAGUCUUACCUACUCCAACUAUUUUUCAGGGCUGGGUUGAAAAAUAAAUGAAUGAAAU